UACGAAGGGGGCUAGCGUUGCUCGGAAUCACUGGGCGUAAAGGGUGCGUAGGCGGGUCUUUAAGUCAGGGGUGAAAUCCUGGAGCUCAACUCCAGAACUGCCUUUGAUACUGAGGAUCUUGAGUCCGGGAGAGGUGAGUGGAACUGCGAGUGUAGAGGUGAAAUUCGUAGAUAUUCGCAAGAACACCAGUGGCGAAGGCGGCUCACUGGCCCGAUACUGACGCUGAGGCACGAAAGCGUGGGGAGCAAACAAG
rnacentral:rRNA from 1 species